UACGAAGGGGGCUAGCGUUGUUCGGAGUUACUGGGCGUAAAGGGCGCGUAGGCGGCGCACCAAGUCAGGCGUGAAAGCCCUGGGCUCAACCCGGGAAUUGCGCUUGAGACUGGUGUGCUUGAGUACGGGAGAGGAUAGUGGAAUUCCCAGUGUAGAGGUGAAAUUCGUAGAUAUUCGCAAGAACACCAGUGGCGAAGGCGGCUCACUGGCCCGGUACUGACGCUGAGGUGCGAAAGCGUGGGGAGCAAACAGG
rnacentral:rRNA from 1 species